rnacentral:lncRNA from 1 species
CGGUGACUAGACGCCAGGAGCUGGAUGAGGUGGUCCAUGCCGAGGAAGAGGGCAUUGCAUGAUUUGUUGUCCUGCAGAUUUCCUCUCCUGUUUUAUUUGAUUUUGUUGGCAAAACAAUGGCAGAUUUCUCCAUUAGCUUAUCUGAUUUGGGGUGUAGAUUUCCUCUCUUGUUUGAUCUGAUUUUGUUGGCAAAACAAUGGCAGAUUUCUCCAUUAGCUUAUCUGAUUUGGGGUGUAGAUUUCCUCUCUUGUUUGAUCUGAUUUUGUUGGCAAAACAAUGGCAGAUUUCUCCAUUAGCUUAUCUGAUUUGGGGCUGAUUGUCCUCUUGUGAUUCCUGUUCAUGGCCUUGCUGUGGGAGAUUGCAAAAGUGAAGCUAACUAAGAGUGAAAAAAGAGCAGGAGCAAUGCUUGGGCUGUAGAAUUAAUGGUUGAACAAAAUCUAUGGUUGAUAUGUAGUCUAGUCAUGGCUGAUAUGAAUUUUUCUGUUAUUAUCUCUGGAUUGUUCAGUAAAAUGAAAGCUCAUGGUAUAGCAUGUCACCUUCCUUGCACAUAUAUUUGUACCCAAUUUAGACCAUCAGUAGAACUGUUUAUAUUGUAACUUGGAUGUGGAUAAGGAUUUAUUUUGUUACUGAUUGGUUAUGUUUUCUAUUUUGCUCAGAUAAUUGAGCCGUUCUUCCUUCUUAGUAUCAAUGAAUAGGUUGAUUACAUAAUAUAUUUGAAGAUUGCAGCAGGCACAAAAUGCUCAGCAAACAAAAAUAAUUAGGUAAGGUGAGAACUGAUUGAUCUGAUUUAUUUCCCUAGAUUAAUUGGUUGGCAGUCAUAGAAUCAUCAUGUACCUUUAAUAUUGACUUGAACUUUUGGUGUGGUCAUGUAGCUUUGAGGUUGCCUAGAAAUAGACCACUCUCGCAUCAUUAGGUGCCGCCCACAAGGAUCUACCUCGGCGAGGCAUGCGCACCUAUGCCACAUCAUUACAUGUAAGUUUGUUCCCUUGAUAGUUCUCUUUCACAAUUGCACGUGUGAUAUUUGUCAUGGGAUCUGACCGCUUUACCAUAUUUUCUUGGUAUGGAUGAUGUUAAAGAGUGAGCUACCCAUCGUUUCUCAUUACUAACUGUAAUCAAGAAAUAUACGUGUUCGUGCCAUAAAAGAUGGAUAUGUGUUAAGCCAUUGUCAUGUCAUGUGAUUACUUGCAGAACAACUAUAUAGCUAUGUUGGGAUUGUAAAGUGGAAACGAUAGGAACCUACAACUCUUCUGUGAGUGUCGUUUGAUUAUUUACUUUCUCAAGUAGUGUGGAUAUACUGCCGUCAGGAUAUUAUGUAUAUGCAUGAUUAUAUGCAAAUUUUUAAAAUGGGUUGUGGUAUCCCGCAUUUGUCAGAUCCUCAUAUGUUGCUGACAGUUUAUAAUUUUCUGUUGUUUCUACCAAAUGUGUGUGCUAUGACAUUAUGUAAGGCUAGGCAUAUUUCUUUUCUUUAUAAUCCAGUGAUGAACUAAUUGUCUUAGCUAUAUGGUGAAUCUCGAUUACCCCCCGAGGAGCUAGGCUUGCAGCCCCUAUUUGGGUUUAUUCAGAUUGUUGCAAAAUGUGAUUUCUACAUGUUGAUAUGUUCCUUGCUUUCUCCAUCUCCACCCCCUACGUCCUUGAUGAACUAAUUGAGAUAUGCAAAUUAAGUGCCAUGGAUGAGUUGCAAGUGGUCAUGCAUCGUCCUUGUCAAUUUUAAAUGCUCGACUCCACUUUCAUUUGCCUAUGGUAUUUAGUAUUUACACUUGCAUAGAGCUUUGGCCUAUUUCAUUUGGACCUACUCCCAGUUCCCUACUAUGUUUCUAUUCCCAAUGAUCAACUCUUACUUUCCUUUUGUGUGUGUUCUGCUCUGCUUGUAUUAGCUAUUGUUAAUUUAUGCUAAUUUUGUUGUCCUUUUUUUGUGUGCCCAGAUGACCAGGCGCAUAGGAGGGCUACAUACAUUUUGUAUGGGUG